UGUAGUUGGGUCAGCAUGGUGAGCCUUGUUGGUGCUGAGCAGCUGGAUGAGGCUCACUGUUUAUGGGCUCUGUGUUCACAUCCGUGCUGCUGGGAGGCUGAGCGACGCAUCGCUAAAGGCAUCUACCGCCGUGCACUCAGAGUCCCAACUAAACACAGCGCUGAAGGUGAAGAACGUUUGCCGUCUUUGACAGUGGUGGAUGUUUCCGAGUGGGCAGGAAUGAGGACUGUGAGUUCAGACAGAACAUAUCUGAGCAGAAUUCCCUUCCAGGCUGUACCUCCAUGGAAAGACACCACACUGAGGUUUAAAACUACAGAUCCAUCUUUCCCAGCGAUCACAUCAGCAGCAGCUAAAUCCCAUACCAGAGAAAGCGGAACCAGAGACAAAGGUGUAAGUGAUAACAGAGCUCACAUCAGCCCUCUAAUUGGAUCACCAUGGGGAUCAGGAUCUUUAGUGUUGUGGGUCCCGAAUCCUCGUUACAUCCCUCAGGGUGUUAAAAGCUCAAAAUCUCCACAGUGCGCUGUAAAGGAGUUAAUCUACCUCCCAGCUGCUCAGACACAGAACACGCCUAAAGCGAACCGUAAAAGAACGACGAAGAAGGUGCGGUUCCAGCUCACCUGUUCACCCUUGACCUUUCACCCCAGCCAGCAGGAGUCAGUCCCUGCAGGUCAGCUGGAGGUGGGCACAGGAGACACAUCAGCAGUUGUGGAAGAACCUGAACUCCCUAGAGACCUGAGUACAAUCCUGGUGAAGAACAAACCCGUUGUUUUUCACAGCGUCCGAGAGAGGAGGGUGAGGAGAGCGAGACAGGACUCACCAACUUCACUUUACAAACUGGACAGCAAGACAGGUGAGGAGGACAUUGACUGGGACAGUCUGAGGGGACAGUCGUACCUCUGGAAGAGACAUAACGUCCCUCCUGAGCUCCUGAGUCCACCAGGGGGCACCAGAGGAACUCAGGAGAUUGUCAACUCGUAUCCUGUUUCUAAAGCGAGCUCAGAACGAACGCUUCACAGCCCACAGUGUGCAGCUCCUGCAGCAUGGCCGUAUGUGAAGAGGGCGUGGCAUUACGGCCGGGACACUCAUCCACUGCUCUCUCACAAGAAGCACCAUCAAGGAACCAAAUCAGAACUGGACAUGACCAUCCAGAGCACUUCUGCUGUAACUGAACACAAUCAGCUACACACAAUGUUGGACACAGAUGAGAGGCGUGAGAGAGUUGGGGGCAGUAAAGGCUCCGUCGCUCCACUGAACUCUGAGUUUUACAACCAGCGCUCCACCCACCAGCUCUACAGUGAGACACAUUGAGGGGUCAAAGGGCACGAGGUGGAUAAGGGAGAGCAGGGAAACUUGGGAAAGGGGAGACUUGGGACAGUUUGUAUUCCCAUAAAUUAAUUUCAACCAAUCAGGUUUUAGAUUCCAUCAGAAGUUAGAUGUUUCCCCUGAGAGUAACCGACUCCCUUUGGAGCCGAAGCUGGACGCUGCAGUAAGCCCUGACACCAGCUCAGAUCUGAGGAUCAUCAUUGGAGAGAUGGAACCAUGGAGAGGGAGAAGCUCUAUAGAACAUCUCUGAACUUCCACACCCUAGCUAUCUCACACACACAUGCGCACACAUUAAUCUAGAUAGUAUAUAAUCUAUAUGCUUUUUUUAAAAACACACUUUGUCUGUAUAUUCUGUAUUUGUGUGUUACGAGUCGAUGGCAGUGAACUGAAUCAUUUACUGGGUCAUGAACUACUGCACUGCAGAGAUGUAUCGGGUGUGUUACAACAUCUGUAAGAGUAAUGAGCAAAUCGCAGAACACAGAAUAAAUGCAAUAUAAUUGUAAUGUAUGAUAUUAAGUCAUUUGCUAAUUUCUCACUCUUUUCUGUACCAGAUUAAUCAGUGUACAGAGUUACAGUACACGUUGUAUUGGCUCAAAAGGAUAGCCCCACACCUGGGUCCUGCACUCUUCAUGAACUUCAGUGCUUUGACAGCAGUUUUUUAUUCUUAAAAAUGCAUUGCUAAACACGUUUCACAAU